rnacentral:rRNA from 1 species
GCUGGUUUUUCUGCGAAACUAUAUAAGUAGGUAAUUUAUAUACAUCAUAGCAGGUACAGAACUUGUCAUGUACAACUUGCACUAAAAAAGUGCUCUUUGUUCACGUGGGGGGGUCGGAAGAUUCUACUCGCUAGUAGUUGACCUCGGAAGGGUUAUGAUGACUAUAUAAUAAUCAGACAUAGUACGCUAAGGUUGUAUGUCUAAAGGGAAACAGCCCAGAACAAGAGUUAAUAAGGUUCCAAAAUUAUUGUUAAGUGAAAAUAAGGAAGUUUGCAUCCAAUUCAGCCAGGAGAUAGGCUUAGAUGCGGCCAUUUUUUAAAGACCUCGUAACAGAGCACUGGUUCAGUAAAUUAUUUUUAUAAUUUAUAUGGAUAAAAGCACCAAAAAUUUAACGGAUCUAAACAAUAUACCGAGACCUUGUCCAUAUUUAUCUAUAUAUCUAAGUUGUAUAUUGUAUUUAUGGGGUAGCGGAACAUUGGGCAAAUCUAAGAUUUUUUCUUUACAAGACUUAAGAUAAGAUAACCCAAGUGAUAAUGCUGACAUGAGUAACGAUAAAGGGAAUGAACUAUUCCCUCGCCUAAAACUUAUGGUAUUUACUUAAAGUAACGGCCUCUAAGUUUAUGAACCUAAAGGACUAAACGAUGAGAAAAUCUACCACCCGCUCGUUUAAUUGUUUCCUUCUGGGAAAUUAAUUGAAAACAAACAACCUUUGUGCAUAGACUAUAUCUAGGUAUUUAAUUUGAGAGCGGUACUAGAUAUUUGUUUGUGUUAAAGUGACAAGGGUUCUGGAUAAGUUAGGAGUAAAGUGGUGCAUCAUGCAUAAGAUAGGGAGGAUGCAAUCUCCUGCCUAAUAUGGUGUAACGACUACCGUACCUAGAAACUACCCCCAGUAAGUUAGUAGAGAAUACGAAGGCGUUUGAGUGAACAAUCAUUAAGGAACUCG